UUUAGCUAAAUUGAAUGUUAUUAAAUAUAUUAAAAAUAUUAGCCUAUAAUUUUAAAUUUAUGUAAUAUUAUCAUGUAUUUAGUUAAAUAUAUAUGUAGAUUCAAAUGAUGACAAGCAGCUGCAACAAGCCACUAACAAUUUAGAGGCAUAAAUUGGACAACACCAACACCAAGAGUUCUCCUGAAACUGUUUAUUAUGGAAUGUGAAAAUAUGACAAACACAAUGAACACAGAACCAAAACUUUGUAAUGGUUGUGAAAACAAAAAUAAUUGUUAAAUGUGGCAAAAUAAUAUAAUUAAAGCGAAUCUUUCGGAGGAGCUAGCAAAAGUAAUAUGGAAAAAAAGUAUUAUGUAUAAAGAUUAUGUAGAAGUAAUUGUACUUAAUCUAUUUGAUUAAGAAAAACAACAUCUUCUAUACCCUUGAACAUAUGAAGAAGUAUAGAAAUAGUUAUUUAGAAAGGUGUUGAUCUAUGCAUCAUUGUUGCUUACGAAUUGUCAUAAAGCAAUAUUAAUUUUGCAUAAAAUAUCUCGUUGUAGAAAAUUUAAAGUUUUACCAAGAUGAUCCAAAAAUAAGUUAUUCUGGUGAAAACGCUAAAGAAAAAUACCCUAAAUAAUUUUGUGCAUUAGAAAAAUUAAAGAAGCCAUUCUAAAGUACUUUGUUGGCACAGCUGUAAACGAGAUCAAUCAAAUGGAACUUGAUAUAAAAUGGAAAUAUUUAAAAAGUUAAACUGUACGCAGUUUUAUAUUGUAUUGUUUUAUCACUUGCUGAGCAUCAAUCUAAUCUAAGUUGACUUGUAUUUGUAUUUUUAUUUUAUUUGUAGACAACAGAAAAAAAAUUUGGCUUAUAAAA